rnacentral:rRNA from 1 species
AGCAGCCGCCACGGGAAUACAGAGGGUGCGAGCGUUAAUCGGAUUUACUGGGCGUAAAGCGUGCGUAGGCGGCUUUUUAAGUCGGAUGUGAAAUCCCUGAGCUUAACUUAGGAAUUGCAUUCGAUACUGGGAAGCUAGAGUAUGGGAGAGGAUGGUAGAAUUCCAGGUGUAGCGGUGAAAUGCGUAGAGAUCUGGAGGAAUACCGAUGGCGAAGGCAGCCAUCUGGCCUAAUACUGACGCUGAGGUACGAAAGCAUGGGGAGCAAACAGGAUUAGAUACCCCCGUAGUCCCUGUCUCUUAUAC